CUUCGUGUGUAUAUAAGUAUAUAUAAAUAAAUAUGUGUGUAUGUAUGGGCUUUUACCCAAAAGAAUAUGGACAUUUUAGUCACAUUAUUUGCAUAAUUCUGAGUUGCUUUCUAGAAGUGUGUCCAAUUAACAGCUCCUCCAACAUUGAAUUAGUGUUCUAGUCGUUUCACUCCAAUUAUUGCUAUCUUUUGUUAUCUUUGCCAAUUUGCUGAGUGUGAGGUAAAACUUCAUAGUUAUUUUGUUUUAUAUGUCUUCAGAGUAUUCUUUUAUAUGAUUGGUAAUAAUUUGCAAUUCUUUUGAGAGCUGUUUGAGAACUGUCAUAUCCUUUGGUUAUUUAUUUAAUGGGCUUCAUUUUUUUUUUUAGUUUAAAGUCCUUUUGAUUCAAUUUAUGACAUCAGACAAGUAUUUUUCUUUUAAUUUAAAUUCAAUUAACAAGACUUCAUUUUAUCUCUUUCCAAUUCCUCCCCCAAUUUCCAAGAAAAUGAAAAACAUAACCCUUGUAAUGAAUAUAUAUGAUCAAGAAAAACAAAUUCUUUCAUUGUCCAUGUCUAAAAAUGUAUAUGUCAGUCUGCAUCUUGAAUCCAUUACCUUUGCCAUGAGACAGAUAGCAUAGCUUAUCAUCAGCCUUCUGGAAUCAUAGUUUGCCAUUGCAUUGUUAGACAAAAAUUCUCAUCCUUUGUCAGGAUCUGUUCCUAGUCAGGAGAUUGUCAUCUCUCUAUUUUUUAAAUUGUGUUUAUUUAUUUAUUUAGUAAACCCUUACCUUUUGUCUUAGAAUCAAUACUGUAUAUUGGCUCUAAGGCAGAAGAAUGGUAAGGGUUAGGCAAUGAGGGUUAAGUGACUUGCCCAGGGUCACACAGCUGGGAUGUGUCUGAGGUCAAAUUUGAACCUAGGACCUCCCAUCUUUGGGCCUGACUCUCUAUUCACUGAGCCACUCAGCUGCCCCUUUUUUUAAUUUUUAUUUUUUUCCUCUAUAUUUGUGACAGUGGUCCAGAAGUCAAAAAUCCCUUUUGCAGAUAUCACUUUCUUAGCCUGCCAAGAAAUACUUUUCUUUUCUGUAUCCCUUGUCUUAAAAUAGGCACCAGUGAGGAAAACCCACCUACCCAUGUCUUCAUGGGUGGGCAAAGCUAAUAUAAUAAAAAUGACAAUCCUACCUAAACCCUAAUUAAAUUAUCAAAAAUAUUUUAUUGAGCUAUAAAAGUAAUAACAAAAUUAAUUUGGAAGAACAAAAGGUCAGGGCAGCUAGCUGUCUCAGUGGGCUUCUUAGCUGUGUGAUCCUGGGCAAGUCAUUUAACCCCAAUUGCCUAGUCCUUGGAACCAAAGGAAUUGAAGAAAAAAAUAUAAAGGAGGGAGGUCUGGUAGAGCCAGAUUUUAAAAAGUAUUUAAAAAGUCUCUAUGGCUUUUAGUUUCUUAUCCAUGACUUUGUAAUCUUAAGCAAUAACUAUUAAGUUCCUUCUGGCAGUAUCCUUGGUAGUCAUGGUUCAACUAGAAGCCAUAGUAGUUAUCUGUUGUGAUAAGGCUUGGGAGAUUCUCUGCUGUGUUCAAUACUUGAGGACAAUAGCUUCUCUACUGUUAGCAGCUUGACACAUGACCGGUUCUCUAUCUUAGAGCAAGCCCCUUUUACUCUUCAUUUCUUCUUCUAGACAUUCAUGAGGAUGACUUCUUAUUUGGUACUUUGGUGACAAUAUUCCAUCCUAGGAGGACCAACACCUGAUUCAUCUUAAGGAAAAUCAUCAAAUUUCAUAUUUUAAUUCCAUGUGCACUUGCCCUUCUUCUCUUCCUCUUCUAGGUACCAUUCUUCUCUUCUCCAGCCUCUUUAUCAGGAGGUAUCUCCUCAUCCUCUUCAGAUUCUUGUUUUUCUCACUAAAGUCUCAUUUCUCCUUUUUUGGGUGGGGGCAGGGGAGGAAGGAUUGUUCUCAGUAAUCUGCAUGACUUUGAUCCCAUCCCUUUCUCUUCUAGGAGGGAGAACUGCCUAUUCCUGUAGAACAGCCCUUGUAAAAUUCUAUCUAGUUUUCAUACUGGGAGCUUUAGCUUUUAUUUUUUCUCCAGAACUAUUUGUGAGUAUUUAUAUUUUACCUGUUAUUACUUCAUCAGGUCCUUUCCAACCUGCUCUUCCCUCUUAGGAACUUGGCAGUCACAUCUCACUUCCUUUAAUGUCUUAAGCUUCAUGGCUAUAUCCUACCUCCUCUCCCCCUUACACCAGUCUCCUGUGUAGCUGUUGCAAAAUGCUGCACAGGAGACUGUGCUGCCUGUAAAUAUACUCUUCUAUUUCACUUUAACCAGCCAUUUAUCCUGUUUACCUUUUCCUAUUUUUUUUUCUUGCCAACUAUUUUAUCCUUAAGUUUUAUUGACCAUGAUUCUUUUCCUUUAAGGCUCUUUCACAGAACUAAAUGCCAUAGAAAAGUAUGGACAUUCAGGAGGAUUACUGUCACUUGUUCUCUGCUUCCCUAAUCAUAACUCAAAAAUAAUGAAGGCUACUGUCAUCUUUUCACAUAUUUUUUCUUUCCUUUUUAUUCCUUUUUAAUAUUUUACUUGUUUUAAUCAGACAAAAUCCAUCUUCUCAAUCUUCUACUCUUCCUGCCCCCAGACUCUCUUCCAACCGAGAACAUGAGAACAAGAAAAUCAGUUACAAAUAUGUAUAGUCAGUGACAAAUAAAUUUCCAUAUUGGCCAUCUCCUUCCCACCAAACAUUGUUCUCUUCUUUAUUCUGUAUUACUUACCUCACUAUCAAAAAGUGGGCAACAUGUUUCAUCAUUAGUCUUUUGGAAUCUUGGUCAUUAUGUUGACAAGAGAUCAGCAUAAUAGUAUUCCAUUAUAUUUGUAUGCCAUAAUUUAUUAGUCUAUUCCCUAAAUAUCAUCUCCCCAUAUCUGAUCCCAAGCAGUUUAUCUUUGUUUAGCCCUUUAUUAUUGUUCGUGUUUACCUUUUUUUAAGUUUCUCAUUAUUGGGCUUGUACUUCAAAGUUUCUAUGCAGCUCUUAUCUUCAUUAAAAAUGCUAGGAAAAAAACAAAAAAAAAGAAUGCUUGGAAGGGUCUGCAUCAGCAUUGGUGAAGUAUUGGCACAUAUGCUCAGCUGGCACUCAGGAAUCUGUUCCGUUUCCCCUCCUUCCAGUGACAGGACAUUUUUUUUCAUGCCCUACUCCUCUGUCCAGCUGCCCAAAGCAAACACUUCUUCCCUCUGCUCUCUCAGGCUCACAGACAGCUUGAACUUUCCCUCUGGGCACUCAAAUUCAAAAACCUUCACCAACAUUGAUCUACAUCAUACUUUGUUUAAUAUUUUUUUUUAAAACUUUACCUUCCAUCUUAGAAUCAAUACUAUGUAUUGGUUCCAUGACAGAAGAAUGGUAAGAGAUAGGCAGUGAGGGUUAAGUGACUUGCCCAGAGCCAGGAAGUGUUUGAGGCCAAAUUUGAACACAGGACCUCCUCUUUCUAGACCUAGCUCUCAAUCCACUUAGCUGCCCCUGAGUAAAUUAUUUUUGGCUAGAGGCUCAUAUCUUUUGCCUGCUGAAUUAUUGUAUUUCAAUCCUUUGCUCCUUUAUAGUAGUGACCACAAAAUCAUGCCUGGUCCUGACUGUGGCUCUUCAUUACUUGAAUUUUCUUUCUGAAUGCCUACAGUAUUUCUUUGACCUGGAAACUGGAUUUUUGCUAUGAUGUUCCUGGGAGUUUUUGUUUGGGGGUUUCUUUUAGGAAAUGACUAGUAGAUUCUUUUUUCCAUUUUGCCCUCUUGUUCUAAGAGGGUGGGCAGUUUUAAGAUUUCUUGAAAUAGAAUAUCUUUGUCCUUCUUUUGAUCAUGAUAGACAAGUUUAGUGAUUCUUAAAGUUUUCUCCUUGAUCUAUUUUCUAUUGAGAUACCUUAUAUUUUCUUCUAUUUUUUUUUUUACUUUUGACUUUGUCUGAAGCUCUGAACACUCCUUAGUGACCUGGAUUAGAUAUAGAGAAAUGCCAGAAUGAUAGAAAGUUGCUCAGCAGACUUGGGGAAAUGUGUUCCACACUGGUUCCAUGUUUUAAACUUUGAAUUUCCUCAAACUAACUUGGGUGCCAAGAAGAGGCCUGAGAAACUAAGUGCUAAGGGAGUUGGGAGCUAAGGUAUAUAACCAGGAAAUAUGAUUCAUACAUAUAUCACUCUAAGAUUGGUGUGGGCACUGCCAAAAAAUAGAGAAAAACUUAGUCUUCAGGGAGCUUCAGAUGGGGCAUGGCCAUUGGUAGGGAAGGGAUAUAUAUAUGUAUAUGCCAGUAAUGGUGCUCUGGAUGAAGGACAGUUAUGUCUUCCAGGGGGCUUCCAGGGUGGGAGGCCAUACCCUUAACAUCUGCCUAGUUACUUAGAUUUUGAGAGGUCCUCCAGUUGGGAUUGGGGUACAUGAACCUAGCUCCAAGAUGGAGGGUUCAGAGAAGACACGGAUAAAUGAUUUAAGAAGGAUAACACAUUGCUUGUAAAUGCUGCUAAGCUGAGCACUUAAUAUACAUAAAUUUUGAGAAGACCCAAGGAAAGGGAGUUAUCAGACAGGAAAAGUGAAGAAAAGAAAGCUUUUUGGAGGAAGCAGGUUAACUGUCACUGAUCCAGAGGUCUAACCCCUUUCCUACACAAGAGCUGAUUUGGCUUGACAUAAAUAGCAAAGUAAUUGGAGUGGAUGGGGAGGAGAGUGAAAGGGGAGAAUCCCUGAGGAGUGGGUUCCUUAGAGAUUCCAUCCUUUUCAGGAAUGAAUCAGUUCAAAUGUGGAUACAAAUGAAUGGGACUACAUUCCUGGAGAGGAAUUGUCUCCUCGGUGGUACCUUGCCUAAAUCUAGCAUUUCCCGGGUUAGUUAGAUGCAGGAUUUUUGAUUGGCUGACAUGGAAGGGAGUAUGGAAAGAAAAGGGUGAUGAUGGAGUAGCAGCGACAUCCCAAUCCCCCCACCCCCCAACUUGCCAGGGAUGGGGGUGGGGAAAAGGAUUGGGGGGGGGAGUGAGAGGGAGGGAGGAGGGAGCUCUCUCCGGGUUUUUUUUCCCCUGCCGACUGUCUCACCUCCCUCCCUCUCUGCCUUCCUCUCAUUCUCCCUCCCUGCUGCAGCAUCGGUGCCUAUAGCUCCUGGGCUUCCCAGAAGCCUGAGCAUCCACCAUGCUGGAUAUUUUCAUUCUGAUGUUCUUCGCUAUCAUAGGCCUGGUCAUCUUGUCCUACAUCAUCUAUCUGCUCUAGCAUCCCGAGAGCCCUCUUGGUGGGGAGGAGGGCAUUGUGGAGGAGAAGGAUGGAGCCCAGAGGCCCAGCAACCUGCCCGCCCACUUCCAAGUGGACUUGUGCUUCUGAUCAUCAGAUCGUCACUUCGGCUCCUGGUCCCCCAGUUCGACCAGAGACUUCUCUUCGGCAGCAGCCCCUGAUUGUUGCCCUAGCAAGCGAGACCUCUCUCCGAGCCUUCUGGAGACUGUUAACCCCUGGCAAGCAAGUAGCGUUCUGAAAUGGAAGCCAGAGGCAGGCUGAGAAGCAGCUGCAUCUCAGCAUGCCCAACAGAAUUCAUGGAUAUUGCUGGCAGGCUAGGAAGGCCACGAGGAGUUCAAGUGGCAGAAGAAAAGCCGUGAGAAGUGAGCUGGCAGGUGAACUCAUCAAAGCUUCUAGGAAGGGCUGCUAACCAACGAGACUGAAGGCUGCCCCUUCGCUGGUUCUGGGUGCGAGUGACUCUUUCUGUGGUCUCUCAUGUGUCCUUUUCCUUCUUCCUAGGGCUUCCACAUUCAAGGCUUUCCCAUAAUAAGUUCAAGGACAACUUGGAUGUCUCCUUAUAUGGACUAAAUACAUUAUUGUGAGGGAAUAAGAUCCUUUUCCCACUCUGUCUUUAAACCUUUUCAGACUCGUUUUUAGAACUUGUCUCCAGCUCUCUUCACUUCAGGCUGCAGAAGCUUGUCCUUUCAGCUGUUGAUGCUGCUUUCUCCUUCUUUCCCUCUCUUAUUGCCACAGGUCCUCUUUAUACAGAAUGGAAAUCGGCAUUCUUUAUGCCGGGUGAAUUGAGGAAUUGGAAUUGUAAAUCGAAAAUAAGAUGGCCACAUCCUGUCCCUUCUGCCCUGAGUAGAGGAGUUUGUUGUGAAAUCUCUGUUUAUAUUGUACUUCAAAUAAGAAUAUUGUAGAGAGAGAGGCACCUUCCUCCAAAAAGGCAUUUUCUUUCUUUCCUUCUUUCUUUCCUUCUUUCCUUCCUUCUUUCUUUCUUUCUUUCUUUCUUUCUUUCUUUCUUUCUUCUUUCUUUCUUUCUUUCUUUCUUUCUUUCUUUCUUUCUUUCUUUCUUUCUUUCUUUCUUUCUUUCUUUCUUUCUUUCUUUCUUUCUUUCUUUCUUUCUUUCCUUCUUUCUUCUUUCCUUCUUUCCUUCUUUCCUUCUUUCCUUCUUUCUUUCUUUCUUUCUUUCUUUCUUUCUUUCUUUCUUUCUUUCUUUCUUUCUUUCUUUCUUUCCUUCUUUCCUUCUUUCCUUCUUUCCUUCUUUCCUUCUUUCCUUCUUUCUUUCUUUCUUUCUUUCUUUCUUUCUUUCUUUCUUUCUUUCUUUCUUUCUUUCUUUCUUUCUUUCUUUCUUUCUUUCUUUCUUUCUUUCUUUCCUUCUUUCUUUCUUUCUUUCCUUCUUUCCUUCUUUCCUUCUUUCUUUCUUUCUUUCUUUCUUUCUUUCUUUCUUUCUUUCUUUCUUUCUUUCUUUCUUUCUUUCUUUCUUUCUUUCUUUCUCUCUCUCUCUCUCUCUCUCUCUCUCUCUCUCUCUCUCUCUCUCUCUUUCUUUCUUUCUUUCCUUCUUUCUUUCAACCUUUACCUUCCCUCCGGUGUAUUGGUUCUAAAGGCAGAAGAGUGGUAAGGGCUAGGCAAUGGGAGUCAAGUGACUUGCCCAGAGUCACAUAGCUAGGAAGUGUCUGAGGUCAAAUUUGAACCCAGGACCUCCCAUCUCUGAGUUUGGCUCUCUAUCCAUUGAGCCAUCCAGAUGCCCCCCAAAAAGGCAUUUUCUGUAUCUUUGUAUUAUUAAUUGCCAUCAAUGGAAUCCUCUAUUCAAUUAAUGUCGAAGAAAGCCUAGAACUAGGGUCCAGGUCAGCCUCAGAAUUCAAAAGCUAAAGCUUGGUUGUCUAAGGUCUGAGGGUGUCCAUUCCUUUGAAAAGGCCACUGCAUUGGUUUAACAGUGGGAGCACCCUUUCUAGGUUCUAUAAUCUAUUUUUUUAUUUUUAAAAUUUCAUUAUGAUUAUUUUAACAAACCCUUAUUUUUUUGUCCUAGUAUCAGUUUUAAGACAGAAAGAAGAUCAGUAAGGGCUAGGCAAUCGGGGUUAAGCGACUUGUCCAGGGCCACACAGCUAGGAAGUAUUAGAGAGCCCAGGUCCUCAGGAUCCAGGCCUGGUGCUCUAUCCACUGUGUUAUCUAGCUGCCCCACUACAAUCUAUUUUUAAAAGAAACUAACAUGAAAAAUUAACAAUUUUUAUGAUUGACUCAACAUAAAUUGAGACCUUCGUGCUAUGUUUUCAGAUAACUAGGAUGGAGAAGAUAUUUUUUAGUAAUACUGGAAAUGAAAAGCUUAUUUUCUUUAAGCAGACUUUGGAAGGAGAAUUAGGUCAGAAUUCUAUACAUAGAGCUGGGUUCCAGGCCCAGUUUGUCUACUAAUUAGCUGUAUGACCUUGAGCAAGUCAAAUUCCUUCUCUAGCCCUCAGUUUUCUCUCCUGUCAAAGGAUGAAUAGGUUGUCUCCAAGGUGCCUUCCAGUUUUAAAAUUCUGACUCAGUGUUUGUAAAGACAGGGUCUUUGGAACAAACUCUUAAGAAUUAAGCAAUAAUCCCUUCUCUCCCCACCAAUCAGGUUUUGUAAUGAAAAUCCUAAUAUAACAUAAACUAUUGUUGCAUAAAUAGCCACACAGAGAAGAGAAAAUGGUGACAUGAUUUAUUUUGCCACUUGUGACUUUAAGGUUUUAUUGUAUAAUGAUAUUUGGCAAUGACAACUUGAAAGAUACAUAAAUGCAAAGAGGGGAAUUCAGAACAAGAUUUUAAAAUGCUGGAAUAUUUGAGGAUAUCAGCAGAAUUCUUAAUGCACUAUUUCCCAUUUAUUAAAGAUUCCUCUACAGUAAAGAUCUAUAGCAUCUGUUUCAAUGAUAUAUGUACAAGUUCUAGCCUGAAAUUCUCCAUUUUAGGCCAGAAUACCAAUUCUAUCCUUUCAGAUCAUUCAGACAAAAUUGGCAAUAUUUGGGGAGAUUUAAUGAUGCAGUUAAAUGUAGCUCUUUGCAGAAAAAAGGUUAUUAAUAAGUUACACACCUUUCUUUUUUAAAAAAUCCUUUUAUUUUUAUGAACUUGACAUCUUUGAAGAAAUAGGAUCAUUUCCACAUACAAAGAACAGAAAAAGAGGAUUGUAUGACACUACAAAUCUAUUAUGUAUAUAGUUUGCUUCUUUUUAAAGUAUAUAAUAAAUUUAACACUGUAGAUCCAAAAAUAUCCUGCUUCUCUGUGUCUUUCUAAACUUGCUUUUGCUCUCUUUUGUACAUAUUCAAAAUGUUUUAUUAACACAGUCUUUACUUCCUUUUCUUUUUUUUUCCUCUGGGCAUUGCUAUCACUAUUUUCCUUUUCCUCAAUAACUCUCUUUGGCAAAAAAAAAAGGCUGCCCUUGUAACAAAUAAGUGCAAAUAAAAGAAAUUCACACAUUG